rnacentral:piRNA from 1 species
GAAGAGAAGGUAGAAGAGGGUUUGG